CAAGCAGACUUCAGCAUGACCUCUCUCCAUAACAGUCUUGUUAACUGUGCAUUCUUUGCUUGACCAUUCUUCAUGGGGUCACGGCAUGACUUUAUGGCUCAAAUACGUUUGCACAGGAAGUUUGCAAAGAUUCAGUUCCUAUUUUGAACUUGAGCAGUCCAGGGAAGAAAAAAUAACUUUGGGGACAGACACAGACUUCAGAGGGCUAUUGGGACUGCA